UCAAAGAGGCAACAACAUUUUCAGGUCAAUCAAUAGUAAUAUUGGAAAAUCCAGCUGUGCAAUGAGUUUUAAACUAGAAACAAUUUAAUAUUGGAGACAAGAAAUUUUGAAGCCUUCCACCAUAGUAAAUUCUAUUUUUCAAUCAAGUUAAUUUACAAGAUCAACAUAUAUACACAGAAUAUACAUGAAGUAUACAUAAUUCAAGAAACAGCACACAAUGGGAGUAAACUCCAAUAGCAAGACUGCAUCAAACGAAGACACAUUUAGAGAUGCCAGGAUGAAAUUUCUCAUUCAAGACCAAUUUCUGCUGUUCCAGGAACAAAAUCAGUGAACCACAUUUCCUGUACUAGUUCCUAAACGCUAGAACCAGAUAAAUUUCUGUUGUUCCAAGAGGAAAAUCUUGGAAUUAAAUUUGUAGUACAAGUUUAGUGCACACCACAACAAGACAUAUUUGCUGUACCAGGAACUAAAUCGAUGAACCAAAUUUCCUGUGAUACUUCCAUAAACGCCAGAAGGAGAUAAAUUUCUGUUGUUCCAAGAGGCAAAUCUUGGAAUGAAAUUUGUAGUACAAGUUUAGUGCACACCACAACAAGACAUAUUUGCUGUACCAGGAAUUAAAUCGAUGAACCAAAUUUCCUGUGAUACUUCCAUAAACGCCAGAAGGAGAUAAAUUUCUGUUGUUCCAAGAGGCAAAUCUUGGAAUGAAAUUUGUAGUACAAGUUUAGUGCACACCACAACAAGACAUAUUUGCUGUACCAGGAAUUAAAUCGAUGAACCAAAUUUCCUGUGAUACUUCCAUAAACGCCAGAAGCAGAUAAAUUUCUGUUGUUCCAAGAGGCAAAUCUUGGAAUGAAAUUUGUAGUACAAGUUUAGUGCACACCCCAACAAGGCAUAUUUGCUGUACCAGGAACUAAAUCGAUGAACCAAAUUUCCUGUGAUACUUCCAUAAACGCCAGAAGCAGAUAAAUUUCUGUUGUUCCAAGAGGCAAAUCUUGGAAUGAAAUUUGUAGUACAAGUUUAGUGCACACCACAACAAGAAAUAUUUGCUGUACCAGGAACUAAAUCGAUGAACCAAAUUUCCUGUGAUACUUCCAUAAACGCCAGAAGCAGAUAAAUUUCUGUUGUUCCAAGAGGCAAACCUUGGAAUGAAAUUUGUAGUACAAGUUUAGUGCACACCACAACAAGACAUAUUUGUUGUACCAGGAACUAAAUCGAUGAACCAAAUUUCCUGUGAUACUUCCAUAAACGCCAGAAGGAGAUAAAUUUCUGUUGUUCCAAGAGGCAAAUCUUGGAAUGAAAUUUGUAGUACAAGUUUAGUGCACACCACAACAAGACAUAUUUGUUGUACCAGGAACUAAAUCGAUGAACCAAAUUUCCUGUGAUACUUCCAUAAACGCCAGAAGGAGAUAAAUUUCUGUUGUUCCAAGAGGCAAAUCUUGGAAUAAAAUUUAUAGUACAAGUUUAGUGCACACCACAACAAGAAAUAUUUGCUGUACCAGGAACUAAAUCGAUGAACCAAAUUUCCUGUGAUACUUCCAUAAACACCAGAAGCAGAUAAAUUUCUGUUGUUCCAAGAGGCAAACCUUGGAAUGAAAUUUGUAGUACAAGUUUAGUGCACACCACAAGACAAGCAUUUGCAUAACCAGGAAUGAAAUCAAGGAAUCAAAUUUCUUGUGCUAUAAACACCAGUAGGAGACAAAUUCUUAGUAUUCCAGCAGCAUAACCUUGAAUUAAAAUCCUCCUUACAAAUUUACUAAACUUCCAAAUAGACACAUUUUCAAGACUCACGUCAGUUCCAGGAUAAAAUUUUGAAAAUAUAUUCUGCAUGCAAGAUCAAAAACAAUGGAAAAAAUCAUUGUUGUUCCAGUCAAGUCAAAUUGUAAAAUAAAAUUUGUUGAAGAGGUUCAAUAAACAUUGGAAGAAAUCUAAAUUUGGAUUCCAAAUCUAAUGCAGGAUUCCACAAGUAUUUCAAGUUGAACAUAAAUAACUAAGAAAUAUCAAUUGAACACUGGAAGAAGAUUUGUACAGCUGGAUAGUUCAAAAUUAAUUGUUCAUUGCUUAAUUGUUUCAGUUUUGCUCAUGUAUUCUAUCAAUAAAAAUGUUCUAAAAUGAA